rnacentral:rRNA from 1 species
UACGGGGGGGGCAAGCGUUGUUCGGAAUUACUGGGCGUAAAGGGCCAGUAGGCGGCCAACUAAGUCGGAUGUGAAAUCCCCAGGCUCAACUUGGGAACUGCAUCCGAUACUGGAUGGCUUGAAUUCGGGAGAGGGAUGCAGAAUUCCAGGUGUAGCGGUGAAAUGCGUAGAUAUCUGGAGGAAUACCGGUGGCGAAGGCGAGUCCCUGGACAUCUCCUGACACUGAGGCACGAAAGCUAGGGGAGCAAACAGG